AGUGGGCAACAAUUCCACCAGGACUGAAGCCGGUCUCCUGGGGGAUUUGAUGCCACAGC
rnacentral:pre_miRNA from 1 species